UGGCUUAGAAGCAGCCAUUCCUUGAAAGAGUGCGUAACAGCUCACUGGUCGAGUGUUUCUGCGCGGAAAAUGUAACGGGGCUCAAGCACACCGCCGAAGCCGCGGGAUUUCAUCAUCAACUCCGGCGCAACCAAAGCGUUCGCGCUUUAAACGCGUCCAGAGGAUGGGAUCGGUAGGGGAGCGUCGAGCAGCCAGAGAAGCAGCGGCGUAAGCCAGCUGUGGAGGCUGCUGGAGUGAGAAUGCCGGUAUGAGUAGCGAGAGUGGAGUGAGAAUCUCCACCGCCGAAAGUCCAAGGUUUCCUGGGGAAGGCUCGUCCGCCCAGGGUUAGUCGGGACCUAAGGCGAGGCCGAAAGGCGUAGUCGAUGGAUAACUGGUUGAUAUUCCAGUACCACCAUGCAAACGUCCAGACCAAAUGCGGUCAGCUAAGAAGGGUCCUUCGGGACGCUUCGACCCGGCCACAGGAGGUCAGCAAUGGGAUGACGCGGAAGGGUAAGUGGACCCGGGCGUUGGUUGCCCCGGGGUAAGUGUGUAGGGCGAGGUCCAGGCAAAUCCGGACCUCAUGAAGCCAGAGGCACGAAGCCGAGCCGUAUUAGGCGAAGCCACUGAACGCCCAUGCCGCCGAGAAAACUCUCUAGCGAGUCUGCAUGGUGCCCGUACCCCAAACCGACACAGGUGGACAGGUAGAGAAUACCAAGGCGAGCGAGAUAACUCUGGUUAAGGAACUCGGCAAAAUGGUUCCGUAACUUCGGGAGAAGGAUCGCCCCGGUAAAGUGAAGGAUGAACAUCCGGAGCUUGAGGGGGCUGCAGUGACCAGGCCCGAGCGACUGUUUACUAAAAACACAGCAGCGUGCUAAGUCGCAAGACGCUGUAUACGCUGUGACGCCUGCCCGGUGCCGGAAGGUCAAGAGGAGGGGUUAGCUUCGGCGAAGCUCUGAAUCUAAGCCCCGGUAAACGGCGGCCGUAACUAUAACGGUCCUAAGGUUGAAGAAUUCGCAGCCUUAGUAAAACUGAACCAUAUGCGGGAAACUCCUCGCACAGCCGGCCGGUACUCGGCUGUUCUAUUAAAAGGGACAGUCAGUAAAAAUCCGGUCGGACAUGGGGACAAUCCGCAGGGAAGGUCCAAUCUGUAAUGGAAACCCUCAGAGACUUGACGUUCAGGGUUGAUCGAUGAAGCUAGACAGCCAAUGGAUCACAGGCUUCGUGGACGGUGAAGGUUGUUUCUAUGUGGGGAUCGAAAAGCAUCCCGACAUGACGACCGGCUAUCAGGUUUUACCUGAGUUCACUGUUGUACAGCACGAGCGCGAUAUCCAGGUGUUGUACGCCCUCAAGAGGCAUUUCGGUUGUGGAGUGGUUCGCAGGAACCAUGGCGACCGGAUGUGCUAUCGGGUGAGAGGCAUACAGCAUCUACUGGAAAGAAUCGUUCCAUUUUUUGUCAAGCACCCGCUGAAAACCAAGAAGCGCAUCGCGUUUCAAAAGUUUCGCCGGAUUCUUUUGAUGAUGGAGGCGGGCGAGCAUCUGACGAGCGACGGCCUGAAUCGGAUAGGCCGAAUCGCCUCGGAGAUGAAUCGAGAUCAUCCAAGGUAAAGUCCGGCCCACUUGGAAACAGGUGGGGAUCAUCCGAGCGAAAUUCCUUGUCGGGUAAGUUCCGACCUGCACGAAUGGCGUAACGACUUGGGUACUGUCUCAACCAGAGACUCGGCGAAAUUGCAUUGUGAGUAAAGAUGCUCACUACCUGCGACAGGACGGAAAGACCCCGGAACCUUUACUGCAGCUUGACAUUGAUGUCUGGUAUACACUGUGUAGGAUAGGUGGGAGACCGCGAAACGGUGCCGCCAGGUACCGUGGAGUCACCCUUGAAAUACCACCCUUUGUAUGGCGGGCACCUAACUUAGGUCCGUUAUCCGGAUCAAGGACAGUGUCUGGCGGGCAGUUUCACUGGGGCGGUGGCCUCCUAAAGAGUAACGGAGGCGCUCAAUGGUUCCCUCAGUCUGGUCGGCAAUCAGACGACGAGUGCAAUGACACAAGGGAGCUUGACUGUGAGACUUACAAGUCGAACAGGGACGAAAGUCGGACAUAGUGAUCCUACCGUGGCAUGUGGAAGCGCGGUGGCUUAACGGCUAAAAGGUACUCCGGGGAUAACAGGCUGAUACCCCCCAAGAGUCCAUAUCGACGGGGGUGUUUGGCACCUCGAUGUCGGCUCGUCGCAUCCUGGGGCUGAAGCAGGUCCCAAGGGUCGGGCUGUUCGCCCGUUAAAGCGGCACGCGAGCUGGGUUUAGAACGUCGUGAGACAGUUCGGUCCCUAUCCGUCGCAGGCGUAGGAGAUUUGAGAGGAUCUGUCCCUAGUACGAGAGGACCGGGAUGGACGUACCUAUGGUGUGCCAGUUGUCCUGCCAAGGGCACGGCUGGUUAGCUACGUACGGACAGGAUAAGCGCUGAAGGCAUCUAAGUGCGAAGCCCACCUCAAGAUGAGAUCUCCCACCGUUAAUUCGGGUAAGGACCCUGGUAGAACACCAGGUUGAUAGGCCGGAAGUGUAAGCACAGCAAUGUGUUCAGCGGACCGGUACUAAUAGUCCGAGGGCUUGAUUAU
rnacentral:rRNA from 1 species